rnacentral:rRNA from 1 species
UACGGAGGAUUCGAGCGUUAUCCGGAUUUAUUGGGUUUAAAGGGUGCGCAGGCGGGUUGAUAAGUCAGUGGUGAAAGGUUUACGCUUAACGUGGACAUUGCCAUUGAAACUGUCGAUCUUGAGUACAAAUGAGGUAGGCGGAAUGUGUUGUGUAGCGGUGAAAUGCAUAGAUAUGACACAGAACACCGAUUGCGAAGGCAGCUUACUGGGAUGUAACUGACGCUCAGGCACGAAAGCGUGGGGAUCAAACAGG